rnacentral:rRNA from 1 species
AUUGAACGCUGGCGGCAUGCUUUACACAUGCAAGUCGAACGGUAACAGGCCGCAAGGUGCUGACGAGUGGCGAACGGGUGAGUAAUGCAUCGGAACGUGCCCAGUCGUGGGGGAUAACGCAGCGAAAGCUGUGCUAAUACCGCAUACGAUCUGUGGAUGAAAGCGGGGGACCUUCGGGCCUCGCGCGAUUGGAGCGGCCGAUGUCAGAUUAGGUAGUUGGUGGGGUAAAGGCUCACCAAGCCAACGAUCUGUAGCUGGUCUGAGAGGACGACCAGCCAAACUGGGACUGAGACACGGCCCAGACUCCUACGGGAGGCAGCAGUGGGGAAUUUUGGACAAUGGGCGCAAGCCUGAUCCAGCAAUGCCGCGUGCAGGAAGAAGGCCUUCGGGUUGUAAACUGCUUUUGUACGGAACGAAACGGUCCUGGUUAAUACCUGGGGCUAAUGACGGUACCGUAAGAAUAAGCACCGGCUAACUACGUGCCAGCCGCCGCAGUAAGAC